UUAAGCGACUAAGCGUACACGGUGGAUGCCCUGGCAGUCAGAGGCGAUGAAGGACGUGCUAAUCUGCGAUAAGCGUCGGUGAGGUGAUAUGAACCGUUAUAACCGGCGAUUUCCGAAUGGGGAAACCCAGUGUGUUUCGACACACUAUCAUUAACUGAAUCCAUAGGUUAAUGAGGCGAACCGGGGGAACUGAAACAUCUAAGUACCCCGAGGAAAAGAAAUCAACCGAGAUUCCCCCAGUAGCGGCGAGCGAACGGGGAGGAGCCCAGAGCCUGAAUCAGUGUGUGUGUUAGUGGAAGCGUCUGGAAAGGCGCGCGAUACAGGGUGACAGCCCCGUACACAAAAAUGCACAUAUUGUGAGCUCGAUGAGUAGGGCGGGACACGUGGUAUCCUGUCUGAAUAUGGGGGGACCAUCCUCCAAGGCUAAAUACUCCUGACUGACCGAUAGUGAACCAGUACCGUGAGGGAAAGGCGAAAAGAACCCCGGCGAGGGGAGUGAAAAAGAACCUGAAACCGUGUACGUACAAGCAGUGGGAGCCUCUUAAUGGGGUGACUGCGUACCUUUUGUAUAAUGGGUCAGCGACUUAUAUUCUGUAGCAAGGUUAACCGAAUAGGGGAGCCGAAGGGAAACCGAGUCUUAACUGGGCGUUAAGUUGCAGGGUAUAGACCCGAAACCCGGUGAUCUAGCCAUGGGCAGGUUGAAGGUUGGGUAACACUAACUGGAGGACCGAACCGACUAAUGUUGAAAAAUUAGCGGAUGACUUGUGGCUGGGGGUGAAAGGCCAAUCAAACCGGGAGAUAGCUGGUUCUCCCCGAAAGCUAUUUAGGUAGCGCCUCGUGAAUUCAUCUCCGGGGGUAGAGCACUGUUUCGGCAAGGGGGUCAUCCCGACUUACCAACCCGAUGCAAACUGCGAAUACCGGAGAAUGUUAUCACGGGAGACACACGGCGGGUGCUAACGUCCGUCGUGAAGAGGGAAACAACCCAGACCGCCAGCUAAGGUCCCAAAGUCAUGGUUAAGUGGGAAACGAUGUGGGAAGGCCCAGACAGCCAGGAUGUUGGCUUAGAAGCAGCCAUCAUUUAAAGAAAGCGUAAUAGCUCACUGGUCGAGUCGGCCUGCGCGGAAGAUGUAACGGGGCUAAACCAUGCACCGAAGCUGCGGCAGCGACACUAUGUGUUGUUGGGUAGGGGAGCGUUCUGUAAGCCUGUGAAGGUGGCCUGUGAGGGUUGCUGGAGGUAUCAGAAGUGCGAAUGCUGACAUAAGUAACGAUAAAGCGGGUGAAAAGCCCGCUCGCCGGAAGACCAAGGGUUCCUGUCCAACGUUAAUCGGGGCAGGGUGAGUCGACCCCUAAGGCGAGGCCGAAAGGCGUAGUCGAUGGGAAACAGGUUAAUAUUCCUGUACUUGGUGUUACUGCGAAGGGGGGACGGAGAAGGCUAUGUUGGCCGGGCGACGGUUGUCCCGGUUUAAGCGUGUAGGCUGGUUUUCCAGGCAAAUCCGGAAAACCAAGGCUGAGGCGUGAUGACGAGGCACUACGGUGCUGAAGCGACAAAUGCCCUGCUUCCAGGAAAAGCCUCUAAGCAUCAGGUAACAUCAAAUCGUACCCCAAACCGACACAGGUGGUCAGGUAGAGAAUACCAAGGCGCUUGAGAGAACUCGGGUGAAGGAACUAGGCAAAAUGGUGCCGUAACUUCGGGAGAAGGCACGCUGAUAUGUAGGUGAAGCGACUUGCUCGUGGAGCUGAAAUCAGUCGAAGAUACCAGCUGGCUGCAACUGUUUAUUAAAAACACAGCACUGUGCAAACACGAAAGUGGACGUAUACGGUGUGACGCCUGCCCGGUGCCGGAAGGUUAAUUGAUGGGGUUAGCGGUAACGCGAAGCUCUUGAUCGAAGCCCCGGUAAACGGCGGCCGUAACUAUAACGGUCCUAAGGUAGCGAAAUUCCUUGUCGGGUAAGUUCCGACCUGCACGAAUGGCGUAAUGAUGGCCAGGCUGUCUCCACCCGAGACUCAGUGAAAUUGAACUCGCUGUGAAGAU
rnacentral:rRNA from 1 species